rnacentral:lncRNA from 1 species
CGCGCGGUGCCGGCGACUAGCAGCGAGAAGUCCCGGCUUCUUCCAGGUUUGGAGAUGGCAUUGGGGGACCAACCUCCCGAGGUUGUGAGGAUGACAACAGUACUCUGUGAUGCUGUCCCUCCUCAGGUUGGCUGCCAUCCCUGCUGAUGGAGAGAGACUGGAGACUGUCAGAGAAGAUUGUGCCGGUGACUACUUAGCUGGUAUUAAUUGUAUUUGCAGAGUAGGGGUGAGUCCAAUUACUACUCAGAUUAGGUUUAGCCUCCCUGGCCUCGUAGUGCUGGGAUGUUUGCAUAGGACAGAAGGUAGCAGAGAAACUUCAAGGGUAGGAAAAUGGGCAGAGGGAGGGGUUCCAUGGAUCAGUCUUGCCCAAAUGGAGCACAGGAAUGGUAGCAACAGGACAUGAAAGAGAACACUGAGCUUCCAUGUGGAGUCCUGGGCAAAUUUGGAGCAACCUACAAGAAAGAAGCAGGGACCUGAUUUGAUGUAUCUUCCUAGGAAAGAUUUGCCACUAAUUUGAUAAAUGUGACUUGUAUUCCCUCUUCUGAGUGAGUAGCUUUGUCAGUCAAGCCAAGGGCCUGCAGAAGCUGUAAGGUUGCUUAGCUUGGUCUUGGGUUACUCGCACAGGGGUUUGGACCUGCUUCUGACAGACUAGGAGGAGCAGACACAUUCCAGACCCAGAGCCUGGAGUGUUAUCUCUCCCCAGCCCUAAAUCCUCACGGUCCUUUUGUUUCCACUUAUUACAGAUGCAGAGGCCUCCCAGUGAAGUGUGAAGGGAUGGGCCUUAACCAGGGUUGAAGAAAAAAAGUGAAGAAGGGAGAACCCAAGAAAAGGUGGGGACAGUUGGGACUUCUGAUUACAUUCGUCUGGUACACUUCUUUUGCACUGUAUGUUAUCAUCUCCAAAUUUCACAUUUAUUGUAGAAAUCUGCAGUGUGUAUGCCCCGGCCAAAUGCUGCUUGGCUAAAAAAGUGUUAAAUAAAACUGUAAGAAAUGCU